rnacentral:rRNA from 1 species
AAGACCUUGCACUUUUGGAGCGGCCGAUGUCUGAUUAGCUAGUUGGUGGGGUAAUGGCCUACCAAAGCUUCGAUCAGUAGCUGGUCUGAGAGGACGGCCAGCCACACUGGGACUGAGACACGGCCCAGACUCCUACGGGAGGCAGCAGUGGGGAAUUUUGGACAAUGGGCGCAAGCCUGAUCCAGCCAUGCCGCGUGAGUGAAGAAGGCCUUCGGGUUGUAAAGCUCUUUCAGCCGGGAAGAAAAGGUUGCGACUAAUAAUCGCAAUUCAUGACGGUACCGGAAGAAGAAGCACCGGCUAACUACGUGCCAGCAGCCGCGGUAAUACGUAGGGUGCGAGCGUUAAUCGGAAUUACUGGGCGUAAAGGGUGCGCAGGCGGUUUUGUAAGUCAGAUGUGAAAUCCCCGGGCUUAACCUGGGAAACU